rnacentral:rRNA from 1 species
GCGUGAGUGACGAAGGUCUUCGGAUUGUAAAGCUCUUUUGGCGGGGACGAUAAUGACGGUACCCGCAGAAUAAGCCCCGGCUAACUUCGUGCCAGCAGCCGCGGUAAUACGAAGGGGGCUAGCGUUGUUCGGAAUUACUGGGCGUAAAGCGCACGUAGGCGGACUUUUAAGUCAGGGGUGAAAUCCCGGGGCUCAACCUCGGAACUGCCUUUGAUACUGAAAGUCUCGAGACCGGAAGAGGUGAGUGGAAUUCCUAGUGUAGAGGUGAAAUUCGU